AGAUGAAAUUGGGUUAUAGCUACCUCAACCUAUUGAUUCAUCCAGAAUUAAUUUAGCUCAUCUGGCUGGCCAAGUGUGUGGCCCCUUUCUAUAUUUAUCAUUUCUCUUGUUUUCUUUCUGAAGCUGCAUGCUUCAUUUAAGAUGAUGACUUACUUAAACGGUUUUGAUAAGCAUAUAGCUGCAUCUGACCUCCAGGUAGAACUUUCAAAAAGUUCUGAAGGUCAAUUUAAAGGAGAAUUUAAGCUGUCUUAAGUAAUUAAUAACAGACUCCUUUAUUUCUCCUAGAAUGGGAUUAU
rnacentral:snRNA from 1 species